rnacentral:lncRNA from 1 species
UGUACAUGUACCACAAAAAGUAAUUCAUGAUAGUUUUUUUCUGUUUUAUAUCAGAGUAAUCUUCAAAAUUUAUGAGUAUGUGAUUGAAUGGAAUAAAAUCUACCUCUAGUACAAAAAUAUUUUAACAUCAUAGAUGUAUCAUUACCUUCAUUAGCUGACUGUAAAUGGCACAUUUGCCCAAGAAUAUCAAAAUUUCAAAUCUACACAGGAAGUUCUUCGGCAGAGAGCAGAAUAGAGUAAAUAUUUGGGAGAGUGUUUCCCUAAAUAUUUUACUAUGUGCAGCUUAUUUCAUCUUGGAAGUUAACAAUAAUUAACAGAAUGCACCAGGUAUAGCAUCAUAUGUGUAUAUAAAGUAUCAGCACACAUGAAUGAAUUGAGACAUGUUUAGUGACCCAAUGUAUUGUGUUCAAAAGCUCCAUCCAACAGUUCAAAGACAUGUCAUAGCAGUGGAGCAAAUGGUGGCAAAUGAUGGCUUUGUGGUGGUUAGUGAAAAACUGUUGCAAUCUACAUUGGUGGUGGCAAACACUGACAGAAAAUUUCUGGACCAGCAGUGACAUUAAGUUGAAAAUAAUGACAUAUUUUACACGGUACUGAAGAUGUAAUUGCGAAAAUUAUUCAAGAAAUAAUAUAUCUCAUUCAGUGAUUUGUUGCUGAAUAAAUCAUUGUUUGGAGUUCAGAUGCGAAGGAAUUUUAUCACCAGGGCGCAACAUUACUGAAAGGAUUUUCUUCAAACUUUCACAAGUGAACAAUCUUGACUGGUAGAUACAACUACAAUUACAUUGCAUUCAAAAUCAGUGGCACAGAAACUGGUAGGGGACUAUGUAUUGCCUUGCAAUACUUCAGCACCUUGUUGUUUUAUAUGUGUAACCUGUAAAUGAUUAUUGGUGUGUUUUAUAAAGUUAAGAAGUCCUA